rfam:uncultured archaeon A07HR67 genomic scaffold scf7180000001154, whole genome shotgun sequence.
ACGGGAACAGCACAGCUGCGGAUCCGACGCGCCGGGGCCCGUUUCGCCCACGGCUUGGGAACGUAGCAGUGC